rnacentral:tRNA from 1 species
AAACUAUUUGUUAUUUUGUUUUGAAAACAAGGUAAAAGAUUUAUUCUUGUAGUUUU